rnacentral:lncRNA from 1 species
AGAUGAGCUGUUAGGCAGAAGUUCUUCCCCGUGAGGGUGAGGCCCUGGCACAGGUUGCCCGGAGAAGCUGUGGCUGCCCCAUCCCUGGCAGUGUUCAAGGCCAGCUUGGACGGGGGUUUGAACAACCUGCUCUAGUGGAAGGUGUCUCUGCCUGUGGCAGGGGUUUGGACCUGGAUGAGCUUUAAAGUCCCUUCCAACCCAAACACCAUUCUGUGAUUUUAAGGUCUUUACUAAAACCCUGGGGUGUAGGGACCCUCACCCCAUCCAGACCAGAGGCCCUGCACACCUCUGGGCUGCAAGCAGCCCCUGGGAUCCCUUCCCAUGCCAGGACAUUCCUGCCGCCACAGUUAAUGCUGCACCUGAGGAGCUGUGAGCUUCAGGAGCACCUAUAGUUGAGGGUAAAGAAAGUCUGGGGUAAGUUGUCCUACACGGAGAGCUCAGGAAAAGGCUUUUAACCAUUAACUCCUACCUACCCACCUAAAGAUUAACCUCACUCACCUGCACUGGUGGCUGCAAACCAGAGCCCUUUCCACUCACUGGGAGAAAACACCCAGUUAAUGGAAGAAAAGCAGUAAGAGGCUGAUGAGAGCUUAAAGAGCUUUAUGAUAUUGCACCUCAGAGGCAGCAGUCAAAUAAAAGAAACCUGUGGGCUUCAGCUGGAGGUCUCAGGGGUGAAUAUUCAGAUGCUUGGUGGGGUGGGAGAGGGCCAGGAGUGCUGGAAGGCUGCAGCAAGAGGCUUUCUGCCUCUAAGUGAUGCAUUUCUACCCUCCUAGUAACUAUAGCUCCAGUUUCAUAUAUAUCAUCCUGCGAAAACAAUAGCUCUGGUUCCCAGAGCCAAGAAGAAGUGAAGAUGGGACAGUCCCAGGACUGGGGACACACAGCCAGCAUCCCUGACCAGCCUCGCGUCCCGCCACCCUGGCUGGGAAGGAGCUAGGGACCAUUUGCAGAUUGCCCUUUGCUCUUCCUCCCCAGCUGCACUCUCUCCUCGGAUUGGUCUCAUUGGGUUGUGGGAAGGGCUGGCUGGUCAUGGUCUUCGUUUUCCAUUUGUUUCAGAGGCACUAAGCCCCUUUGCCCCCUGAAACAAAAGGAGAAGGAAAACAUUAAUGAGCUUGCUGGCAGUUUGGUGCCAGAGCAGAUCUCCUGCUGACCCAAUCACUCCCUUCCUCAGGCACAUCAAGAUGCAUCAAGGCACCAAAGGGAGCUGUAACACAGUCAGCUGCACACAGACGUGUGACUGACCUCACAUGCCCACUGCCUUUGCCUCUUUCCAAGGUAAUGCUCAGGUCUCCACUUUGUACAGACACACAUAGAAAUGCCUUCCCGCAGGACUUCCCACUUGCGAUCCCACCAAGCAGCUGCUGGCUCGGUGGGAUCUACCUCCCGGCAUAUCCCUGGGGGGAUGCACAGGGAUAUGUGUGUACCAUGGCAGGUCCCUGCUUCCACCAGCAGCUCCCACAGCCUAACCAACCGCAGUUUCCUGGGCAGCACUUGCACAGGGGUGUGGGGCACCUCCCCUGCCCUGUCCAUCCCUAGUGGCAGCCAUGUCUUCUGUUUCCCUCAACAUCCCAGAAGGUGGCUGGUGUGGGGAGCCAACCCCGUCUGCCUGCAGAGCCUGCACUCAUUCCCCUCCGCGGGCAGGCAAGAAGCAGUGUGAACCCUACGAUGUUUUCCUACACCAUGCAGACUCACAUCCAACACAGCUAAUCACAGGAUAUUGUUUUCCCGAAUUAUCUCCUUAGAUAUCACAGGCUUGGCAAACACCUUCCAGUACAAUAACAACCAUGCCAAAGGAGUGAUGAAGGCAGCAGGUUUGAAUUUCCUUGUAAUGCUUUGAUCAAAUCCCAGAGUUUGGCAAUCAUCUUCCAGCACAUCUUGAGGACAGGCAGUGAUAUCAGCACUAACCUCAAAACCUGAGGCCCAAGGAUGGGGGAUGCUGUGCUCAGAGACUCCCACAGCCUGCGUUUUGCCAAGCCUGAGCCACAACCCUGGAUCUGCUCCCACUUCCCAAGCAACAGCUCCUUAUGGCUUCCUGGGGGGACCUCAGGGAUCUCAGGACUCCUGAGAUGGCACCCAUGGCAGACUGCGGGAUAAAAGCCUCUUCCCAACAACCUUUCCAAUAACCUUCCCAAUAACCUCGACAAGCAAACCGGCACGGUGAGAUAGAGCAACCACUUACUUUCUUCCACAGGACUCAAAGUUGCUGCAUCCACUCCCUGCCAGUAGGAAAAGGGAAACAUGAAAAUACCGUGUUUCGAUAACCCCAAAUUUUUACUCUGAACACCCCAUUUUCAGUAAAAGUGGCCCUUUUAUGCUAAAUAGCCCAUAUGAUUUCUUGGCGCAUGUUGGUUGGCUUGGCCAUGGGGACAAGCAUCCCCACACAUGAUGGGAAAUGGUAGGAGCACAUCAGUGAGCUUGCCGCGGUGCAAGGGAAGGAAAGGACAGCAUGCAAAGCUACUGCUCCUGCUUCUCCUUAGAGCUGGACCACACCCCCGUGAGGUGACAGGACCUGGGCACCACCCAGUGCUGCACGGGAAGGCAAGGAAACGGUAAAGAAAGCACAAACUAUGGGAGCUCUCGCUGCUCAGAAGCCAAAACCUGGUUUUCAUUAACUAAGCAGGUCGUGGGGAUUUGUUUUCUUGAAGGAGCAGGGGCACAGCCUAAACCACAUCAGGUCCCUGCACUGAUCUAGUGGUAUGUGCAUGGCAGGGGACACCCUCCCUGCUGGGGACAUGGUGUUCACGUGCCCUCUGCCUAUCCAGCACACAGCAUACCUGUGCCUCCUGCUUUUCCCUGGUCACUGGCUGCGGCAUCACCUUCUCCAGCCCCUGGACCAACCAGGCAAACACCCUGGUGACCAGAAACCACAGUUAGACCUGGCUGCCGGGCCCUCUGCUCCCAUAGCACUGCCCCUCUGGCCAGGUACCCACACAGAAGCUGCCAUUGUGGUUACCUGCUGCCAUCCCCAGCCAAGGACCGAGGGAUGAGGGUGGCCACCGGCUCGGGCUGCACCUCAGCCGCUGCUGGCUCCACUGCUGCUGGGGUGCUCUGGGCAGCUGAAAUGCUGCUGUUUGGCUUUGCCUGGGCUUUAGUUCCUUUUGUGCCUGCUCAGGUUUAUUGGGAAGGAGAAGGGGGACAGGCAAUGCAGCAGUCAUCAUAUAAAUUGUUGGGGAAGGGGAGCAAGCAAGGAAGG